rnacentral:rRNA from 1 species
UGCCAGCAGCCGCGUAAUACGGAGGGUGCNAGCGUUGUUCGGAAUUAUUGGGCGUAAAGCGAGUGUAGGCGGUUUGGCAAGUCGGAUGUGAAAGCCCAGGGCCCAACCCUGGAAUUGCAUCCGAUACUGUCAGGCUAGAGUCCCGGAGAGGGUGGCGGAAUUCCCGGUGUAGGGGUGAAAUCCGUAGAUAUCGGGAGGAACACCAGUGGCGAAGGCGGCCACCUGGACGGUGACUGACGCUGAGACUCGAAAGCGUGGGUAGCAAACAGGAUUAGAUACCCUGGUAGUCCACGCCGUAAACGGUGAGUGCUCGUCGUCGUGGGUAUUGACCCCUGCGGUGACCAAGUUAACGCAUGAAGCACUCCGCCUGGGAAGUACGGUCGCAAGACUAAAACUCAAAGAAAUUGACGGGGGCCCGCACAAGCGGUGGAGCAUGUUGUUUAAUUCGAAGCAACGCGCAGAACCUUACCUGGAUUUGACAUCCUCGGAAUCUCUCUGAAAGGAGAGAGUGCCUUCGGGAGCCGAGAGACAGGUGCUGCAUGGCUGUCGUCAGCUCGUGUCGUGAGGUGUUGGGUUAAGUCCCGCAACGAGCGCAACCCCUAUCGUUAGUUGCUAGCAGUUCGGCUGAGCACUCUAGCGAGACUGCCGGUGUUAAACCGGAGGAAGGUGGGGAUGACGUCAAGUCCUCAUGGCCUUUAUGUCCAGGGCUACUAACGUGCUACAAUGGUCGGUACAGACGGUCGCGAACCCGCGAGGGCAAGCCAAUCCUAAAAAGCCGGCCUCAGUUCGGAUUGGAGUCUGCAAUUCGACUCCAUGAAGGCGGAAUCGCUAGUA